rnacentral:rRNA from 1 species
UACUUUUAUUAAAAAUGUUUUUUUUAAAGUAAUACACUUUUUUAUUAUGGGGUUAGAAAAAAUUUUGGCUUAUUAUAAAUUAUUUUUACAGUGAUGGAUUAUUUUAAAAAAUUUACUAGAAAAGUUAUUUUCUUGUACCUUGGGUAUCAGGGUUGAUUUAAAAAUUUUGAUUUAUUUUAUUUUCUCGAAUCUUAAAGAGUUAAAUAUCUAUAUAUUUUAUUGUUUAAUAAAUAUUUAUAAUAGAUUUUUUGUAAUGAAACGUUAUUCGUUUUAAGGGGUAUCUAGUUUUUUAAGAAACAAAUUUAAUUUGUAUUUUUAUAUUCUAUAUUUUAAAUUAUUAGGUUAUAGAUAUUUAAAAAUAAAUAUUUUAGGGGAUGAGCUUUAAAAUAAAUUUUUAAAAUUUUUGUAUUAAGGGCUUAUUAGUAGGAUUAAAAUUUUUUAUCUUUAGAAUUUUGUUAUAAAAGAUAGGCUGAUAAUUAUAAUUUAUAUUAUUUUUAAUUUUUUUAUUAAAAUAUUUUGUUUAAUUUUUUUUUUCAUAAGAAAUAGUGAUUGAAUUAGUAUAUGUUUUUGUUUUAUAAUUUUGGAUAUUGAAGGUUAAUUGAAGGAAUUCGGCAAAUAAUUUUCUGCCUGUUUAUUAAAAACAUGUCCUUUUGAUUAAUAAUUUAAGGUCUAACCUGCUCAAUGAUUAGGAUUAAAUGGCUGCGGUAUUUUGACCGUACAAAGGUAGCAUAAUAAUUAGUUUCAUAAUUGGAAGCUGGAAUGAAUGGUUUGACAAGAAAAUUUCUGUCUCUUAUUAAUUGUAUUAGAAUUUUAUUUUUAAGUAAGAAAGCUUAAAUUUUAUUAAAAGACGAGAAGACCCUAUAGAGUUUUAUUUAAUUUAUUUUUAUUUUGUUUAAGAUUAGUUGUAUUUUAAUGAUAAAUUUUGUUUUGUUGGGGUGAUAGAAAAAUUUAUAUAACUUUUUUUAAUAUUUAUCAUUAAUUUAUGAAUAUUUGAUCCAUUGAUAGUGAUUAUAAGAAUUAAUUACCUUAGGGAUAACAGCGUUAUUGGAUUUAAGAGUUCUUAUCGAAAAUCUAGAUUGCGACCUCGAUGUUGGAUUAAAAUUAAUUUUGGGUGUAGAAGCUCAAACAUUAGGUCUGUUCGACCUUUAAAAUUUUACAUGAUCUGAGUUUAGACCGGCGUGAGCCAGGUUGGUUUCUAUCUUUAAUUUAUUUAUACUUUUUAGUACGAAAGGACCAGACGUAUAUAAUACUUAUUUUUAAUUGAAUUAUAUU